rnacentral:rRNA from 1 species
GAUGAACGCUGGCGGCGUGCCUAAUACAUGCAAGUCGAGCGAACGGACGAGAAGCUUGCUUCUCUGAUGUUAGCGGCGGACGGGUGAGUAACACGUGGAUAACCUACCUAUAAGACUGGGAUAACUUCGGGAAACCGGAUCUAAUACCGGAUAAUAUUUUGAACCGCAUGGUUCAAAAGUGAAAGACGGUCUUGCUGUCACUUAUAGAUGGAUCCGCGCUGCAUUAGCUAGUUGGUAAGGUAACGGCUUACCAAGGCAACGAUGCAUAGCCGACCUGAGAGGGUGAUCGGCCACACUGGAACUGAGACACGGUCCAGACUCCUACGGGAGGCAGCAGUAGGGAAUCUUCCGCAAAGGGCGAAAGCCUGACGGAGCAACGCCGCGUGAGUGAUGAAGGUCUUCGGAUCGUAAAACUCUGUUAUUAGGGAAGAACAUAUGUGUAAGUAACUGUGCACAUCUUGACGGUACCUAAUCAGAAAGCCACGGCUAACUACGUG